rnacentral:lncRNA from 1 species
UGGUAGGAAUGUCUCAUGCUAUGUUCAAGAAUGGCCUUUUCCCCUUUAUUCAGAUUACACCUGCUCACUUUUGGGUGUUUGAAAAGGAAAUCAUCUCCAAAAUAUUGUUUUUUUUUUAAACAAGCCAAUUUCAGUUUAAUCCACCUGAAAAGACAGAACAAAUAAUACAACUAAUAUUGUGGUUAAACUCGAAUAUACUAAUUGAUAAAAAAAAGACGUUUUUUUCGAAGAAAUGUUUAAAAAAGGUAUAAUUUUAGUGAAUGAUAUGAUAAAUAGGACUGGUGGAGUUAUGUCACACAUGCAGCUAACACAGACAUAUGGAAAUGUCUGCUCUACCCAAAAUUACAACCAAUUAAUUGCAGCAUUGCCACAAAAAUGGAAGAGGCAAGUAGAAGGGGAAAAAAGGAACUUGUAUGUCGUGCCUGCAAAUUGAUACACAAAACAACGCUGGAUUCAAAGCUUUGAAUUUUUCAAUUUAAAUUACUAUACAAAAUUCUUGCAACCAAGCUCUGCAGAUCUUGCUGAGAGGAGGCAGAGUCAUUAGAUCAUUUAUUUUGGUCCUGUCUAUAUGUAGCUCGUUUUUGGUCACAGGUCCAGGAAUGGCUGAAGAAAUGCAACAUUUGCCUAGAACUAACGCUGCAGAUAGCAAUACUGGUGUGCAGAGCCUGAGGCACCUAACCGUGAGAGGAUCUGAUGGUUCACGGUGUCUAAGGCAGCGGACAGAUCUAGGAGAAUCACAGGACGCCGAUGUCCAAUGGGAAUGUGUCUGUCAUAGACCACCUCUCCAGGAUCACCUGAGGGGUUGUCUUCACACUGGACUGGACCCUGAAACCAGGGGCGAAAAUCUGACAUCAACUUUGGAGGGGACAAUUCCAGGAAAUUUUCUCAAGAGCAAUUCCUGAGGGGUACAGCAAAAGUAGUGCUGUAACACAUAGCCUACAUUGUAAUAUGGUAAAUGUAUAUUGAGGAGCCAAAGAAAUAAGGUGUUUGCCGUACUCAUAACUACCGGUAACCAAAACUACACAACAGCAAUACCAUUGCCUUUAACAAAUCUUAGUUCAGUCACCAGUUUAAGUUGAGAGUGGG